UUCAAAACAAACAAGGCGGAGCCAACACAAAUACCUGCUGCAAAGAAAAAGGAAUAAUCCGGUGGUGCGCUCCGAGGGCGCGGCCCACAAUGUCCUGAACUGACGAGAGGCAGUCCGUGAAGUAAAGUCCACCAGCGCGUUGGGAGAAGCGCGGCGCCGGGCUGAAAACGGGGGAACGUAGUACGCUCGGCGUAACUCCAGAAGCGAUACCGGGAGGAGAGGGAAAGUCCGUGAUGCGCCGGAAGGGACGCGCAGCCGAGGCGAGAGCGAGGAGUCCGAGACGAACGUAAACUCCAGGGAAAGAGAUCAGAAUCACCAGCACACAGCUGUAUCUCCAUGAAGAGUGACUGGUCUAUGGAUCCUCCUCAGAGGUUUAAAGAUGGAGACUCAUCACUUCUACACAGUAAACCCCAGGGAAAGAGAUCAGAAUCACAAACAAACAGCUGUAUCUAGAUAAAGAGUGACCGGUCUAUGAAUCAUCCUCCUGUGUUUAAAGAUGGAGACUCAUCACUUGUACACAGGUAACGUCUCAUCACUGGUAAUGUCACUGCUAAAGUCACACUUAAAGGGAAGUUGAAUUGCAUAAACAGGAUGGCAAAAUAAAUUCUAAAAGACAAU